rnacentral:rRNA from 1 species
UACGGAGGGUGCAAGCGUUAUCCGGAUUUAUUGGGUUUAAAGGGUGCGUAGGCGGUUAUAUAAGUCAGCGGUGAAAUUUUUCGGCUCAACCGGAAACAUGCCGUUGAUACUGUAUAGCUUGAAUAUGGUUGCUGUGAGUGGAAUGUGUAGUGUAGCGGUGAAAUGCUUAGAUAUUACACAGAAUAUCGAUUGCGAAGGCAACUCACAAAGCCAAUAUUGACGCUGAGGCACGAAAGUGUGGGGAUCAAACAGG